AGGGUGUAAACGCUGCAGACUUGGUGUUGGAAGCCCUUUGGGGGCAUUCAGUGCCGGAGAGAAGUUGUUAAGUCUGCUACUUGGGGAGUACGUCCGCAAGGAUGAAACUUAAAGGAAUUGGCGGGGGAGCACCGCAACGGGAGGAGCGUGCGGUUUAAUUGGAUUCAACACCGUAAAACUACACCAGGGAAGACUGUUACAUGAAAGCCGAGAUGAAGACUCUGCUAGAUUUUCAGAGAGGAGGUGCAUGGCGUCAGUGACU
rnacentral:rRNA from 1 species